AUUGGGCACCUUGCCAUUGGCCCUUCGCCCACCCGGGAGCUGUGAUCCUGCACUUCGGGUCCCUGAGGUCUGGAUUCUUUCUCCCCUACUGAGACGCAGCCAGGGUCAGGACGAAGGAAGAAGGAGGGCUUCGGAGUGCGACGGGGGUUAGGUGAAGCUGGGGCAAUGCUGGGGUGCUGUUGGUGGUAUUCCAGUCCCAGAAACGCCUGGAACUCCCAACAGAGGACAAAUUCCAGACUCCUCAAGGGACAUCAAGGCUGGAAUGUCGUGGACGGUAAGGAAGGGGCCUAGAAAGUGGGAACACUCCGGACUGGUGAC
rnacentral:lncRNA from 1 species